AUUGAACGCUGGCGGCAGGCCUAACACAUGCAAGUCGAGCGAGCGGCGGACGGGUGAGUAAUGUAUGGGGACUGCCCGAUAGAGGGGGAUAACGACUGGAAACGGUAGCUAAUAACGCAUACUAUCGGAUAACCCAUAUGGGAUUAGCUAGUAGGUGAGGUAAUGGCUCACCUAGGCGACGAUCCCUAGCUGGUCUGAGAGGAUGAUCAGCCACACUGGGACUGAGACACGGCCCAGACUCCUACGGAGGCAGCAGUGGGGAAUAUUGCGCAAUGGGCGCAAGCCUGAUGCAGCCAUCCCGCGUGUGUGAUGAAGGCCUUCGGGUUGUAAAGUACUUUUGUCAGAGAAGCGGUAUCUACCGAAUAAGCACCGGCUAACUACGUGCCAGCCGCCGCGGUAAUAC
rnacentral:rRNA from 1 species